GAACGAGAUCCGUCGUCAACGCUGCUCUUACCUGCGGUUGCAUUUGCUGAAGCGGGGAGAUCCUUUAGAGAUGAUGUUCCACUCCUU